ACAUAGGGUGCAAGCGUUGUCCGGAAUUAUUGGGCGUAAAGAGCUCGUAGGUGGUUCGUCACGUCGGAUGUGAAAAUCUGGGGCUUAACCCCAGACCUGCAUUCGAUACGGGCGAGCUAGAGUGUGGUAGGGGAGACUGGAAUUCCUGGUGUAGCGGUGGAAUGCGCAGAUAUCAGGAGGAACACCAAUGGCGAAGGCAGGUCUCUGGGCCAUUACUGACACUGAGGAGCGAAAGCGUGGGGAGCGAACAGGAUUAGAUACCCUGGUAGUCCACGCCGUAAACGGUGGGCACUAGUUGUGGGAACCUUCCACGGUUUCUGCGACGCAGCUAACGCAUUAAGUGCCCCGCCUGGGGAGUACGAUCGCAAGAUUA
rnacentral:rRNA from 1 species